CUGACAUCCUGGAACAAGGACCGUCUAAUGCCCGUGAGGAGAGGAUGAGACUGGGCUUCGUAUUCUUAACAUUCAUUCCCAGGAAAUCUGCUCUCCACUGGAACAGUCUUCAUGGAGGUUUGCUGGGGGAACUUCCUUAUCUUUUUCUCAACCGGAAAAGCUGUAGGUGGAGGUGAAUGUGUAUGUGUGUAUGUGUGUGUGUGGUGGUUGUUGGGGAUAGCCUCCAUGUGAUUUCAAGGGGAUGGGGUCUGUUUGUGUGUGUGUCGGGGAGACUUGAGAUAGAGGGUUGUUCCUGGCUGCCUUCCACACUGUGGGCAGGUGGAGGUGUGGCUGGGCAUGAGUAGUGCAGUAUAAAGCCAGCAAAAGUGGAUUUCUCAGGGUGGAAAUAAUAAUCCUUGACUCUAGGAAGCCUGGCUCACCUGCAAACUGCAUUCUCAGCACAGGGGAGGGCAGGAUGCUGCCACAGACCCAGGGAUUUUGCCCUCUUACCUGACCCAUCAGUGAAGGGUAGGGGCAGCACCUGUAUUGUGGGGAGCGUCAGUGUAUGUGUCUCUUUGUGUGGGCAGCAUGUCUGUGUGGGUGUGUGUGUGGGGGGCAUCAUGUCUGUGUGUG
rnacentral:lncRNA from 1 species